rnacentral:lncRNA from 1 species
CCAAAUACAGUCACACUGGGGGUUGGGGCGAAGGGGUCACAAACAUCCAGUCCUUGGCAAAUGACAGGCCUGCUUUCCCUGAGGUCCCCUAGCCCUUCUUUUGCUUCCUCCUCUCAGCUACCUUGGCCCCCUGAUCCUCAUCUCAUGCCAAAUGAAGUCCAUGGUGCCACCCGCUGCUGUUGACAAAGGGCCCACCUCCUGUCGAGGGGAUGGGGAACCAGGCCAAGGCAGGUGAGGCAUGAAGUGUGUGAGUCACUCCCACAGAGCGCAGCCCCAAGGGAAGGACUGAGUGUGAAGGCCACACCUCUCAGUCCUCAGUGGGAGCGCCCCAUGCCACUCCACGGUGCUCUCUAGGAUUCCGAAGGGCUGCUCGGCACAGCAACCUCACAUGUGAGUGCCAUUCAGUCCACCCGUCCAUUGUUGUGUGCCCAACAAUCAGACGUUUCCCCUGGACCCGUCAUGCACUUCCUUUGUACUGAGCAAGUGUUGUUCAGUGGGCGGCCCUGAUUGUCCUGGAAACGGGCGCCUUGGGGGGAUGGGGGCCUUGAUUACUUUGGCCCGAUUCCUUUAUUAUGCUGGGAGCUCCUUCUUCCCGUGUGUGUAGAUGGGAAGUCUCAGAACCCAGCAGGUGGUGUGGGAGACCCUGGCCUCGACCAGCCUCAGGAUGCCCUAGCAAGGCUGGAACCUGGGGUCCUGGAAGAGGCCAAGGGGAGGGAAGAGCAGGGGCAGGGCUCCUGGGAAAGCCACAGCAGUGACGCCAUGGCCAUGGGGACCUUGCCGGCUGCCUGGUGCUCUGGAGGCGGGUGUAUUGAGUUCCAAAUGCAAUGCAGGGGCCUCUGGCCUUCCUCUGGUCGGUGCAGGCUCUGGCCCCUUCCUUCCUGUCCCCUGACUGGCCCUCCCUCCUGGCAGGCCCUUCCUCUCUCAGGGCAUGUCAGCCUUCAAUGGAAGAAUGGCCAUUGUUCCCUCCCUGAGGAAGGCAGGCCUUCCUCUCCUGGCCCCUCCAUAUCCUGUUACUGGUUUCCAGGCUCCUCUGCAGAGCAGGCAGCCUUUCCCCACCUGAGAGCCUGAAGCACUUCCUGCCUCACACUUCUUCCCACCCUCUUUGUCCUGGAGCCCGCUGGCCUCCCUCUCGGCCUCCCAUCUCCUGUCUGCCUGGCCACGGGACUCCCUUUGUGCCUCCGCCUGGCAUAGCCCUCACUUCUGACUUUCCUGGGCAGCUCGCCUCCUCCUCCCUCACCUUCAUGCUCACUACUCCCUGGGCAUUUUCCCUGGGACCUGGUGGGAGAAGAUACACAGGGAAUUCCCUCCCAGCACCCUUCAUCCUCCUAGGCGGGUGUCACCUGGGACUCAGACCACAGAGAACUGCCACUCCCCUGGGAGCAGGCAGCGGUCUCCCAAGACCUCCAGCAGAGGCUCCUAGCAUGGACCCCCAAGGCCACCUACUUGCUGCC